rnacentral:rRNA from 1 species
AUUUUUAUAUUCUAGUAAAGGAGAUUGAAAAUUUUAUUGGAGCCAUAACGACAGUACCGCAAGGGAACGGUGAAAUAUUUAAUGAAAAACUUUAAGCAGAAAAAAGUAAAGACUACCCCUUGUACCUUUUGCAUCAUGGUUUAACUAGUUUAAUCAAGCAAAACGUAUUUAAGUUUGACUUCCCGAAACUAAGUGAGCUACUUCGAGGCAGCUAAAAGAGCUAACCCGUCUCUGUAGCAAAAGAGUGGGAUGACCUCCAAGUAGUGGUGACAGACCUAACGAACUUAGUGAUAGCUGGUUACUCAAGAGACGGAUCUAAGUCCAACCUGAAGCCUUAUAACUAGUUUAACAAAACAACUACUUGCUCUCAGCGUAAUUCAAAUAAGGUACAGCCUAUUUGAAACAGGAUACAACCUAAACUAAUGGAUAAGAUUAGCUUUAUAUACAACAAAGUGGGCCUAAAAGCAGCCACCUUUUAAACUGCGUCAAAGCUUAAUUGUUUUCAUGCCUAAUUUCACAAUUUUUAUCUUAAUCCCCUAUUAAUAAUGAGUAAUUCUAUACUAAUAUAGAAAAUUUUAUGUUAAAACUAGUAACAAGAAGAAGACCCUUCUCUUAAAUGCGAGUGUACAUCAGAAAGGACAAACCACUGAUAUUUAACACCUCUGAGCUUAAAGUAAUAACUUCUCAAGAAAAUUUUACUUGCACCAAUGUCAACCUAACACAAGAGCAUUCUAAGAAAGAUUAAAAGAAAAAGAAGGAACUCGGCAAAUAUUAACCUCGCCUGUUUACCAAAAACAUCGCCUCUUGAUUUUCAUAAGAGGUCCAGCCUGCCCAGUGACUCUGUUCAACGGCCGCGGUAUCCUAACCGUGCGAAGGUAGCGUAAUCACUUGUUCUUUAAAUGUGGACUAGUAUGAAUGGCACCACGAAGGUUAUACUGUCUCCUUUUUCUAAUCAGUGAAACUAAUCUCCCCGUGAAGAAGCGGGGAUAAAAAUAUAAGACGAGAAGACCCUAUGGAGCUUUAAACAAAAUAGCACUUGCCACAUAACAUACGAUUUCCUGAAUUUUUACUUCACCAAGCAAUAUGACUAUAAGUUUUUGGUUGGGGUGACCGCGGAGCACAAUGUAACCUCCACGCUGAAAGAAUCCUAUUC